rnacentral:rRNA from 1 species
CACGUAGGGGGCAAGCGUUGUCCGGAAUUACUGGGCGUAAAGGGCUCGUAGGCGGCCAACUAAGUCGGACGUGAAAUCCCCAGGCUCAACCUGGGAACUGCGUCCGAUACUGGAUGGCUUGAAUUCGGGAGAGGGAUGCAGAAUUCCAGGUGUAGCGGUGAAAUGCGUAGAUAUCUGGAGGAAUACCGGUGGCGAAGGCGGCAUCCUGGACCGGUAUUGACGCUGAGGCGCGAAAGCCAGGGGAGCAAACGGG